AAUAACACCUUGCCAGAAUUGACACUAACACACCAGAUCCCAUCAGAACUACGUAGUUAAGCACGCUUAGGCUAAAGUAGUACUGGGAUGGGUGACCUCUCGGGAAGUCCUAGUUGUUAUCA
rfam:Picea glauca, whole genome shotgun sequence.